CCUAUCCAGCCAGUGCCUCGUGGGGUUGGGGGUGCCCCUGCCCUCUAUCUUACCCUAACCCUAACCAUAGGGGGGUCCCUAACACAAAAAACGAAGACAAGAAGUCACGUACAGAAAAACAAGUAGAAAAAGAAAAAGACAAGAAGUCACGUACAGAAAAACAAGUAGAAAAAGAAAAAGACAAGAAGUCACGUACAGAAAAACAAGUAGAAAAAGAGAAAGACAAGAAGUCACGUAUAAGAAAGAAAGAUAAGCAGAAAAAGCAAAAGACAAGAAGUCACGUACAAAAGAAAAAGACAAGUAGUCAGAAAAAGAAAAAGACAAGAAGUCACGUACAAGAAAGAAAGAUAAGCAGAAACAGAAAAAGACAAGAAGUCACGUAAGAUAAAACAAAGAGAAUAAUGUAAAUAACCACACGGAAAGGAUUUAAAGGAAGGGGGUGCCAUAAAAAGAUAAAGAGAAACAAAGAAAGAACAAAAAGAAAAAAAUAGUAAGAAAACUAAAGAUAUGAAAAGACAAGAAGUCACGUAAAAUAGAAAGAAAGCAGAAAAAGAAAAAGACAAGAAGUCAGAAAAAGAAAAAGACAAGAAGUCACGUACAAGAAAGAAAGCUAAGCAGAAAAAGAAAAAGACAAGAAGUCAACUUAAAAAAGCCCAAGUGGGAGGAGCUAACAAAAGUAUAAAAGGCCAAGAGAGGCAGUCAGAAAACAGAGAGAAGACACACUGGGUCGGCCUGAAGAAGGCAAAAACAUGCCGAAACGUCGCGAACGGCCCAGUGAAUGCUAAUUGUGCACUAAAACCCUAGAUAAGGGCAAUUUUUUGAACCAGGCAGGGACACCACCACCCGGCCCCAUCGAUGGCCCGUGCACCUCAGGCUACCAGCUUGCUGGUGGCCUGAUUCUUUUCUAA
ensembl:lncRNA